AUACGUAGGUGGCAAGCGUUGUCCGGAUUUACUGGGUGUAAAGGGAGCGUAGGCGGGUAACUAAGUCAGGUGUGAAAAUUAAGGGCUCAACCCUUAACGUGCACUUGAAACUGGAAAUCUUGAGUGAAGUAGAGGCAGGCGGAAUUCCGAGUGUAGCGGUGAAAUGCGUAGAUAUUCGGAGGAACACCAGUGGCGAAGGCGGCCUGCUGGGUCUUUUACUGACGCUGAAGCUCGAAAGUGUGGGGAGC
rnacentral:rRNA from 1 species